CCUACGGGGCGCAGCAGUGGGGAAUAUUGGACAAUGGGCGAAAGCCUGAUCCAGCCAUGCCGCGUGUGUGAAGAAGGCCUUCGGGUUGUAAAGCACUUUCAGUGGGGAAGAAAGCCUUGGGGCUAAUACCCUCGAGGAAGGACAUCACCCACAGAAGAAGCACCGGCUAACUCCGUGCCAGCAGCCGCGGUAAUACGGAGGGUACGAGCGUUAAUCGGAAUUACUGGGCGUAAAGCGCGCGUAGGCGGUCUGAUAAGCCGGUUGUGAAAGCCCCGGGCUCAACCUGGGAACGGCAUCCGGAACUGUCAGGCUAGAGUGCAGGAGAGGAAGGUAGAAUUCCCGGUGUAGCGGUGAAAUGCGUAGAGAUCGGGAGGAAUACCAGUGGCGAAGGCGGCCUUCUGGACUGACACUGACGCUGAGGUGCGAAAGCGUGGGUAGCAAACAGGAUUAGAUACCCGAGUAGUC
rnacentral:rRNA from 1 species